rnacentral:rRNA from 1 species
GGCCACAUCAUGUUGAAACAAAGGUUUCUGUACGAUCACAGAAGCUAAGCAAUGUCAAGCCUGGUCAGUACCUAGAUGGGUGACCGCUUGGGAAUACCAGCUGCUGUAAG